GUAAAUGGAAGAAACAGAGCCCUCUGGGCUCGGCUUCCCUCCUUCCCUCGGCAGAUUCUCGUCUCAAAAGAUUUUCCGAGGGGUAUCUAGAGUUUUCUUAGAGGAUUGUGCUUUCUAUAUUUUAAUCUGUCUUGCUCUUGUUUGCUCAUAUUUAUCAUGUAUAUUAACUCUCCCAGAGACUCUUGUUCCAGUUUCAUAUACAUACCUGUUCGUAUUUUCGCUUGGACCAUGUUGUUUGUUUCCUUGUUCUAUUGGACUUUGCUCGAUGUAUUCUUCCUCUCGUGACUCGUUUUCGUUGUGCUCUAUUGGUUGGCUAUGUUUGUAUUUUUGGUCAAUUGCUAUUAGGCAUAUAGACUGAGGCAGAUAUGGGACUGAGCUUAUUAAGCUGCCUUUUCGCCAAGAAGGAAAUGCGUAUUCUGUACAAUCUGAAGCUAGGUGAAAUUGUCACCACGAUCCCAAGUCCCAACCAUCAGUAAGGAUCAAAAGGUUAUUUCAGUUUUCUUGACAAAACAUGAUCAGAUGGAAUGGUGGAAGUGUCUUGUGAAAGGGAGCCUGAGGUAGACACUCAGAAAGUUGAACCAGAGAACUGCAAAUUAUCUGACCUUGACCCCGAACCAGACGGACCAUCGAGAAAAUGAUGGCAGAAACAGAUGGGAUUCCCGGCGAGCUAUGAGUUGCAGAAGCAAUAGAUCCUCAAGAAAUUCAAGGCCGAGCACCCGGAAAUGGAUUUCUCAAAUGCAAAAAUCGUUUGAUCUUCGGAUUAUGACUGUUCUUUUGAACGUGGAGAGCGCUGCCGCUGAGCACAUGCUGCUAUAGAGGGAGGCCAGGAAAAGCUCCGCCCACUGUGGAGGCACUUCUUCCAGAACACCCAUGGUCGUAUACAUUUGCUUUGGACAGCAAUCCCAGGGACCGCAUUGUCGAGGCAAGGGAUGAAUUAUCACCUUUUGUUGAACAAGAUUUGCGAAUUCUUAAAUCGAUUCUCUGUUCUGUACUUGAAGUUUAUUUGUGCUCUUGCUUAGCUGCUGAAGUAUGGUAGUCAGGUUUAGUUUUCCGGGUCUGUGUCCGUCCAAUCUUUGCCUUUUGGAAUCAUAGCUUUGUUGUCUGGUCCCUUAAGCUCCAUCGCCAUCUUCACAUUCUUCGGUGGAGAGUAUCGAUUUCAACGCUUUUCAGGCCUUGUUUGGAAGCCAGUUCCUUGACGCAAAAGCCCUUCUACGUUUUAUGCAGCAAAAAUCAUUUUCUUGAACCCGUCUUCGUAUAUAAUUGUCAUCUUGUUAUCUCUCUGGUAAAAAUUCUCUCCGACUUGGUUUAAAUCUGAAUGCAGGAUGAACCGAGAAGUGCGGCUCAGCUUUUGUUUUCCGUUCCAGCUUUUUUUGUUCUAAUUAGUGAUUACGUGUCGAGACAGGAGGUGUGUUGUAGAUCUGUCAGUUGGAUGGAAAAACAUCAAAGUCUAUAAUUGUUUUCCAGCAAAAAAGUUUGAAGCUA